UACGUAGGGCGCAAGCGUUAUCCGGAAUUAUUGGGCGUAAAGAGCUCGUAGGCGGUUUGUCGCGUCUGCCGUGAAAAUCCAGGGCUCAACCCUGGACCUGCAGUGGGUACGGGCAGACUAGAGUGCGGUAGGGGAGAUCGGAAUUCCUGGUGUAGCGGUGAAAUGCGCAGAUAUCAGGAGGAACACCGGUGGCGAAGGCGGAUCUCUGGGCCGUAACUGACGCUGAGGAGCGAAGGUCAGGGGAGCAAACGGG
rnacentral:rRNA from 1 species